rnacentral:misc_RNA from 1 species
CAUAUAUCUGUAAUCUUUAUCCUUUCCCGUCAUCUGCAAAUAAAGCCAAAAAAUAAAAAAUAACAUACAACAGCUAGAAUACCGAAUAUUCAUAUAAUUGUCACCCUAACAGCAAACAUACUAAAAAGGGCAUUCCAGUGCCAACUGCCGAGGCUCCCUGCUUUGCAAGGGUAGAAGAGGUUGUCUAUAAUACAUAUUCUUACCCCAUUUUUUUUGCACUGAGGCUGUUUUCAUGUUCAGAACAGGGACCUUCCACUUACAAAAAGGAGCAAUCUUAAACUUCCCCCACAGCUUUCACACCAACAAACAUAAAAUAAACCAUUAUAUAAUAACCAGAGCGCCUAGCAAACAAAUGUAUACAUAUGCACAAAUGCAUAAACAUAAAUUAAACAACUCAAUUAGAUCAUACCUUUUCCAGAAUACCAGUAAUUUGCAAAUUCGCCAUCUUUGGACAACUAUAUGGACAAUGUUCCGUGCACUCAAGAUCACCUUACGUCAAUUCUCUGUUAUAUCAGACCCCCAAAAGAAAGAAAAAUAAACUAUCAAGGGAAUGACAGAAUAGAAAACCCUAGAAGCCGAUAAUAAAGUACCGAGAGGGACUGGAUUGAUUGAAUCUGUAGUAGAAAAAUGAAAUUUGAUGUGUGUUUUCUAGUGUAUUUUGUGCUUUGCUGCUUUUGGUAAUCGUAUCAUGUCUUCACCAGGAGUGAGUCGCACUGGUAAGCUGAAUUCCCGACACCUGGUUUAUAUACAGAGAGCGCGUGCGUGCCCAUCAGAGCCCACAAAAGAAGGCCCUAGCUGAGCUCCGUUUGAGCCAGGGUGGGCUCUCUGGAGUGUGUACCGU